AGAGGUGGCGAGCGUUAUUCGGAAUUAUUGGGCGUAAAGGGCGCGUAGGCGGCCAAGCAAGUCCUGGGUGAAAUCCCUCGGCUCAACCGAGGAACUGCCUCGGAAACUGCAUGGCUCGAGGCCGGGAGAGGGUAGCGGAAUUCCCAGUGUAGCGGUGAAAUGCGUAGAUAUUGGGAGGAACACCGGUGGCGAAGGCGGCUACCUGGACCGGUUCUGACGCUGAUGCGCGAAAGCGUGGGGAGCAAACAGGAUUAGAUACCCUGGUAGUCCACGCUGUAAACGAUGGGUGCUCGGUGUCGCGGGUAUCGACCCCUGCGGUGCCUUAGCUAACGCGUUAAGCACCCCGCCUGGGGAGUACGGUCGCAAGGCUG
rnacentral:rRNA from 1 species